rnacentral:lncRNA from 1 species
GCACGGUAAGAUUGGGAAAACAGAGGAGUUGAUUGGCGAUCUCAGCAAAAGUGGCGCGAUACUCCCAUGGCGGAAGGCGAUCCCGGUUGAGCACUUCUACAAUAGUGAGGCGGUCCGUCUCCAACAACAGGUGAGUACUUGUUCUUCCUUGCUGUGAUAAUUCCUCAAGGGCACACAAAAGCGCUUGACAUUCUGUUUCAAGUGCAGAUUUUGCGGGGACAUCCCUGGUAACGCCGCUGAUCAGUCGACCAGUGUGAUCUUGAAUGAUACAAGCAAUCGCGCCCAUAUUCGUAGCUGUAGGGAAUGCUCCGUCAAUGUUUACCUUGAGGACACCUUGCUGAGGUGGGAUCCAUGUGCGAAGAUUACUCAGUCGAGCGCCUAUGCGGGAUUCCUUCUGCUGAGCACUAAGAUGGAGUUGGGCAAAGGCAAGAGCUGUGUCUACCAGGUGGUUCGGGUGCGUUCUUUGGUGGCGAAAGACGAAGUGAUUAUGAGCGAGCCAAAUGAACCAUAACAGGGCUGCAAUCUGUUCAAACACUGGUAUGUCCACCUCUUGGUCUAUUAAGUCUGC